rnacentral:misc_RNA from 1 species
UCCGGUUUGACACCGGCAGUCUCCCUAGAGUUCCCAGCAUGACCCGCUGGUAACUAGGGACAAGGGUUGCGCUCGUUGCGGGACUUAACCCAACAUCUCACGACACGAGCUGACGACAGCCAUGCAGCACCUGUGCACGGACUCCGAAGAGGGGCCGAUGUUUCCACCGGCUUUCCCGUGCAUGUCAAGCCCAGGUAAGGUGGGGAUGACGUAAGUGACCUUUGC